AUUCAUUAACAUGGAACGCAUGGCCAACACAGUAGAACUGAUGCGUGAACGAAGCCCAUCUCACAUGUCUUUUCUCCAUGAGGCCCAUCCCAGCCUUCCCAUGUUUAGAAACUCAGGACUAGCCUUUGGAAUCAUCUGGAGCAGCAACAUCAGCAACAAAAAGCACAAAAAUGCAAAACACGUGGUGCUAAGUAGAUCACAGAAAGGAUACUUAUUUACAGUAUGAGAGUUGAAACAAAAAGGCAGAAACCUGGGCAUCGGGAGACCCACCUCUUUCCAGGAAUGAGGGCAAAAGCACUGGAAGUGUCUGGAACUGUUAAAGGCAAGACUCUUCCGGUUGACCACAGCGGAUGCCCGUGGUGCUGCUGGGUGGCCCCCAACUCACUGACAAGGAUAGUGACUACGGACGGAGCACUUGCUGCGGGUUCCCAAACUUCACCACCCUGGAUGCCGUUUUAUUUUGUUGCGUUUGUUUUUUAAUCCCCAGAGACUUCGUGUUUUGAAAAUUGAUAUCUGUCAAUUAAAGUGCAUUGAUUAUGUAAA